AAUGAACGCUGGCGGCGUGCCUAAUACAUGCAAGUCGAGCGAACGGACGAGAAGCUUGCUUCUCUGAUGUUAGCGGCGGACGGGUGAGUAACACGUGGAUAACCUACCUAUAAGACUGGGAUAACCUCGGGAAACCGGAGCUAAUACCGGAUAAUAUUUUGAACCGCAUGGUUCAAAAGUGAAAGACGGUCUUGCUGUCACUUAUAGAUGGAUCCGCGCUGCAUUAGCUAGUUGGUAAGGUAACGGCUUACCAAGGCAACGAUGCAUAGCCGACCUGAGAGGGUGAUCGGCCACACUGGAACUGAGACACGGUCCAGACUCCUACGGGAGGCAGCAGUAGGGAAUCUUCCGCAAUGGGCGAAAGCCUGACGGAGCAACGCCGCGUGAGUGAUGAAGGUCUUCGGAUCGUAAAACUCUGUUAUUAGGGAAGAACAUAUGUGUAAGUAACUGUGCACAUCUUGACGGUACCUAAUCAGAAAGCCACGGCUAACUACGUG
rnacentral:rRNA from 1 species